UACAGGAGGGGCAAGCGUUGUUCGGAAUUACUGGGCGUAAAGGGCGCGUAGGCGGUCUGAACAACGUGGAAGGUGUAAAACUCCCCGGCGACUUGAACGUGGGAACUGCCUUCCAAACUGUUUGCUUGAGUCGGGAGAGGUGAGUGGAAUUCCCAGUGUAGCGGUGAAUGACGUAGAUAUUGGGAGGAACACCAGUGGCGAAGGCGGCUCACGUGGACCGGAACUGACGCUGAGGCGCGAAAGGCGUGGGGAGCAAAGCAGG
rnacentral:rRNA from 1 species